AGGUGAGGUCCCAGCUUGAAGAGAAAGAAAACAAGAAGUUCCCUGUGUUUAAGGCCGUGUCAUUCAAGAGCCAGGUGGUCGCGGGGACAAACUACUUCAUCAAGGUGCACGUCGGCGACGAGGACUUCGUACACCUGCGAGUGUUCCAAUCUCUCCCUCAUGAAAACAAGCCCUUGACCUUAUCUAACUACCAGACCAACAAAGCCAAGCAUGAUGAGCUGACCUAUUUCUGAUCCUGACUUUGGACAAGGCCCUUCAGCCAGAAGACUGACAAAGUCAUCCUCCGUCUACCAGAGCGUGCACUUGUGAUCCUAAAAUAAGCUUCAUCUCCGGGCUGUGCCCCUUGGGGUGGAAGGGGCAGGAUUCUGCAGCUGCUUUUGCAUUUCUCUUCCUAAAUUUCAUUGUGUUGAUUUCUUUCCUUCCCAAUAGGUGAUCUUAAUUACUUUCAGAAUAUUUUCAAAAUAGAUAUAUUUUUAAA
rnacentral:lncRNA from 1 species